UUGAGUGGGAGUUUAUUAGUAAUAUGAUUAGCUAAACUCAGUUGUCUUGAACAUAGUCUAAGUAAUCUUUGCAAAGUUUUAUGUUGUAGAUUAAUGGCUCACGCAAUAGCAACCCUGAAUUUUAAUACGUUCCUAGAGAAAGCCAAGCUGAAAGAUGAUGGAAGCAACUUCGUUGACUAGGCUCCUAAUCUGAGGCUUAUCCUCACGGCUGGCCAAAAGCAAUAUGUGCUUGAUGCUGCGCUAGCUGAUGCACCACCCGCUAUAGCGACCCAAGAUGUUUCGAACGCUUGGCAAGAGAGGAAGGAUGACUACUCACUAGUUCAAUGUGCAAUUUUGUAUGGCUUAGAACCAGGACUUCAAAGAUGUUUUGAACGUCAUGGAGAAUAUGAGAUGUUGCAGGAGUUGAAGUUUAUAUUUGAGAAGAAUGCCCGGAUCGAGAGGUAUGAGACCUCUGAUAAGUUCUAUGCUAGCAAAAUGGAGGAGAAUUCGUCUAUCAGUGAACACGUGCUCAGAAUGUCUGGAUACUCUAACCGUCUAGCUGAGCUGGGGACUGAACUCCCGCAAGAAGCUAUCACUGAUAGAAUUCCUCAGUCACUACCACCUAGCUAUAAGAGCUUCACGUUGAACUAUAACAUGCAAGGGAUGAAUAAGUCACCCAAUGAGUUUUUUGCGAUGCUGAAAAUCGCUGAGUCAGAAAUCUAGAAAGAACGUUACGUGUUGAUGGUCAAUAAGACCACUAGUUUCAAGAAAAACGGCAAAGGCCAGAAGGGUAACUCCAAGAAGAGUGGCAAAGUGUUUCCCCUCCGACAAAGAAACCCAAGGAUGGACCUAACCGGGAACUGAGUGCUAUUAUUGCAAGGGGACUGGUCACUGGAAGCGCAACUGCCCCAAGUAUCUGGCUGAUAAGAAGACAACCAAUGCCAAACAAGGUAUAUUUGAUAUACAUGUUAUUGAUGUGUACCUCACCAACUCUCAUAGUAGUGGCUGUGUAUUUGAUACCAGUCUUAUUGCUCACAUUUGCAACUCGAAACAGGAACUGCAGAAUAAACAAAGGCUGGCAAAGGAUGAAGUGACGAUGCGCGUGGGAAAUGGUUCCAAGGUUGAUGCGAUCGACGUCGGCACGCUCUCACUUCAGUUACCAUCGGGAUUAGUGAUGAACUUAAAUAAUUGUUAUUUAGUGCCUGCGUUGGGCAUAAAUAUUAUAUCUGGAUCUUGUUUAUUGCGAGACGGUUACUCAUUCAAGUCACAAAAUAAUGGUUGUUCUAUUUAUAUGAGUAAUAUAUUUUAUGGUCAUGCACCCAAUGUGAGGGGUUUGUUCAUAUUGAAUCUCGAUUGUGAUGAUACUCAUGUCCAUAACAUUGAGACCAAAAGAUAUAGAGUUAACAAUGAUAGCGCCACUUUAUUGUGGCACUGCCGCUUAGGUCAUAUUGGUGUAAAACGAAUGAAGAAACUCCAUGUUGAUGGACUUUUGGAGUCACUUGAUUUUGAAUCAGUUGACAUAUACGAACCAUGUCUCAUGGCCAAGAUGACUAAGACCCCGUUCUCCGGAACAAUGGAGCAUGCAAAUGACUUGUUGGAGAUCAUAAAUACUGUGUGCGGACCAAUAAGCAUAGAGGCGCGUGGCGGAUAUCAUUAUUUUCUCACCUUCACUGACGAUUUGAGUAGGUAUGGUUAUAUCAACUUGAUGAAGGAAAAGUCUGAGACGUUUGAAAAGUUCAAACAAUUUCAGAGUGAAGUUGAAAAUCAUCGUAGCAAGAAGAUCAAGUUCCUACAAUCUGAUCGAGGAGGUGAAUAUCUGAGUUUCGAGUUUGAUGCUCACUAAGACAAUGUGGAAUUGUUUGACAGUUGACACCGCGUGGAACACCACAACGCAAUGGUGUGUCUGAACAUCGUAAUCGUACUUUAUUAGAUACGGUGCGUUCUAUGAUUUCUCUUACUGAUUUGCCAUUAUCAUUUUGGCACUAUGCAUUGGAGACAUCUGCAUUCACUUUAAAUAGGGCAUCAUCAAAAUCCGUUGAGACGACACCAUAUGAGUCGUGGUACGUCAAGAAGCCAAAGUUGUCAUUUUUUAAAGUUUGGGGAUGUGAUGCUUAUGUCAAAAAGCUUCAGCCUAAAAAGCUAGAACCCGAAGCGGAAAAGUGUGUCUUCAUAUGUUAUCGAAAAGAGGUAGUUGGGUAUACCUUCUAUCUCAGAUUCGAGGGCAAAGUGUUUGUCACUAAGAACAGAGCUUUUCUUCAGAAAGAAUUUCUCUCGAAACAGUUGAGUGGGAGGAAGAUAGAACUUGAUGAGGUUGCAGAACCUCUACUUCAACAAGAUGGUGGCGCAGGGCAGAAAGAAAUUUCUGUCGAGGCAACCCAGUUGAAGAGGAAGCUAAUGAUGGUGAUCAUGAAUCUUCAGAUCAAGUUACUGUCUGACCUCGCAGGUUGACAAGAGCACAUACUCCUCCUAAGUGGUACGGGAAUCCUAUCUUGUCAAUCAUGUUGUUGGACAACAAGUGAUCCUGCGAAUUAUGGAGAAGCAAUGGUGCGCUCAGAUUCCAACAGAUGGUUAGAAGCCAUGAAAUCUGAGAUAGGAUCUAUGUAUGAAAACAAAGUAUGGACUUUGGAAGUAUUACCUGAAGGUCGAAAGGCUAUUCAGAACAAAUGGAUCUUUAAGAAGAAGACGGACGCACACAGUAAUAUGACCGUUUAUAAAGCUCGACUUGGGGCAAAGGGUUUUUCAAAGGUUCAAGGAGUUUACUAUGAUGAGACAUUCUCAACCGUAGCAAUGCUUAAGUCUGUCCAAAUCAUGUUAGCAAUAGCUGCAUUUUUCGAUUAUGAAAUAUGGCAGAUGGAUGUCAAAAUGGUGUUCCUUAACAGGUUUCUUAAGGAACGGUUGUAUAUGAUGCAACCCGAAGGUUUUGUCGAUCAUAGAAUGCUAACAAAGUAUGUAAGCUCUAGCAAUCCAUUUAUGGACUGGUGCAGGCAUCUCGGAGUUGGAAUCAGCGCUUUGAUGAGGUGAUCAAGGAGUUCAGGUUUAUACAAGUUUCUGGAGAAGCUUGUAUUUACAAGAAAGUGAGUGGGACUCUAUAGUGUUUCUAAUAUUAUAUAUGGAUGACAUAUUGCUGAUUGGAAACAAUGUAGAGUUUUUUGGAAAGCUUAAAGGAUUACUUGAAUAAAAGUUUUUCAAUCAAGGACCUAGGAGAAGCUACUUACAUAUUGGGCAUAAAGAUCUAUAGAGAUAGGUCAAGGCGCCUAAUAUAUCUUUCACAAGGCACAUACCUUGAUAAAGUUUUGAAUACGUUCAAUAUGGAACAAUCCAAGAAGGGGUUCUUACCUGUGUUACAAGGUAUAAAGUUCAGUAAGACUCAAUGUCCAGUAACUGCAGAACACGGAGAAAAGAUGAGUGUUGUCCCCUAUGCUUCAGCCACAGGGUCUAUCAUGUAUGCAAUGUUGUGCACAAGACCGGAUGUCAGCCUGGCCAUAAGUAUGGCAGGCAGGUUUCAGAGUGAUCCAGGAGUGGAACACUGGGCGGUGGUCAAGAAUAUUCUAAAGUACCUGAAAAGGAUUAAGGAAAUGUUUCUCGUUUAUGGAGGUGAUGAAGAGCUCAUCGUAAAGGGUUACGUUGAUGCAAGCUUUGACACUGAUCCUGAUGACUCUAAGUCUCAAACCGGAUACGUAUUUAUUAUUAAUGGGGGUGCGGUAAGCUGGUGCAGUUCCAAGCAAAGCGUCGUAGCUGAUUCUACAUGUGAAUCGGAGUACAUAGCUGCCUCAGAGGAGGCUAAGGAGGGUGUGUGGAUGAAGCACUUCAUGUUAGAUCUGGGAGUAGUGCCAAGUGCACUGGACCCAAUCAAUUUGUUCUGUGACAGCACUCGUGCCAUUGCUCUAGCCAAGGAACCAAGGUUUCACAAGAGAAUCAGACACAUAAAGCGACGCUUCAAUGCCAUCCGCGAUUACAUCAAGGAGGAGGAUAUAAAUAUUUGCAAAGUGCACACGGAUCUGAAUAUUGCAGAUCCGCUCACCAAACCUCUUCCAAUAGCAAAGUGUGAUCAACACCAGAACUGUAUGGGUGUUAGAUUCAUUACACUGCAAAUCACAUAGAGAUGUGAAGCUAGAUUAUUGAAUCUAGUGCAAGUGGGAGAGUCUUAGAAAUAUGCCCUAGAGGAAAUUAUAAAAUAGUUAUUAUUAUAUUUCCUGUUUCAAGAUAAUCGUUUAUUAUCCAUGCUAUAAUUGUAUUGAAUGGAAUCAUAAAUGCAUGUGUUGAUAUAUAGACAAAACAAUAUCCCUAGUGAGCCUCUAGUUGACUAGCUCGUUGAUCAAGGAUGGUUAAGGUUUCCUAGACAUAGACAAGCGUUGUCACUUGAUGACAGGAUCACAUCAUUGGGAGAAUGAUGUGAUGGACAAGACCCAAACUAUAAACGUAGCAUAUGAUCUGUCAGUUUGUUGCUACCGUUUUAUGCAUGUAAAUGUAUCUGUUCCUAUAACCAUGAGAUCAUGCAACUCCCGGACACCGGAGGAAUACCUUGUGUGUAUCAAAUGUCGCAACAUUACUGGGUGAGUAUAAAGGUGCUCUACAGGUAUCUCUAAAGGUGUGUGUUGGUUGGCAUGGAUCAAGAUUGGGAUUUGUCACUCUGUUUGACAGCGAGGUAUCUCGAGGGCCACUCGGUAAUAUAACAUCACAAUAAGUGUUGCAAGCAAUGUGACUAAGGAGUUAGUCAAGGGAUCUUGUAUUACGGAACGAGUAAAGAGACUUGCCGGUAACGAGAUUGAACUAGGUAUAGAGAUACCGACUUUCGGAUCUCGGGCAAGUAACAUACCGAAGGACAAAGGAACUGCAUACGAGAUUAACUGAAUCCUUGACAUAGAGAUUCAAUCGAUAAAGAUCUUCAUAGAAUAUGGAGGAUCCAAUAUAAACAUCUAGGUCCCACUAUUGGAUAUUGACCGGAGAGUGUCUCGGUCAUGUCCGCAUAGUUCUCGAACCCGCAGGGUCUGCACACUUAAGGUUCGAUGAUGUUUCGGUAUAGUUGAGUUAUAGGUGUUGGUGACUGAAGGUUGUUCGGAGUCCCGGAUGAGAUCCUUGACGUCACGUGGAUCUCCUGAAUGGGUUUGUAGGUAAAGAUUGAUAUAUAGGAAGUCCUGUUUUGUCACCAAAAAAGUUUCGGGCUCAUCGGUAGUGUACCGGGAGUGCCGGAAGGGUGUCGUGGGACCACCGGGAGUGGUGCGGUGACCCUAGGGCUUCAUGGGACAAGAGAGGAGGCAAACCAACCCCUGAUGGGCUGGCCGACGCCAAUUCUAAGGGCCCAUGAGGCUAGAGUAGGAAAUAAAGGAAAAAUACAAAAUGUGGAAAAGGUUUCCAAGUGGAAGGGGAAUCCUACUAGGAGUAGGAUUGGAGGAGGACUCCUCCUCUCCUCCCACGUCAGCCGAGCCAAAGGGCAGCCCUAGGGCCGGCGUCCUCCCUCCUCUCCUCCUAUAUAUACUAGAGCUUUUGAGGGUUUUGAGACACAACAAUUAGCCACGUGCUACCCUCUCUCUACAUCUGUUUCUCCUCUAAUCUAGUUUUCAGUGGUGCUUAAGUGAAGCCCUGCUGGACUAGAUCCACCAUCACCGUCGUCACACUGUCGCGCUGCCGGAGAAAUCAUCUACCUCUCCUCCCCACUUGCUGGAUCAAGAAGGUGGAGAUCAUCGUCGAGUAGUGGGUGUGCUGAACGCGGAGGUGCUGUACGUUCGGCGCUAGAUCAGGACUGAUCGUGGCCCGACAGUGAUUUGGAUCGUGAAGACGUUCCACUAAAUCAACCGCAUUUCUUAACGCUUCCCGCUUAGCGAGCUACAAGGGUAUGUGGAUCCGAUCUCCCCUCAUAGAUGAUCAUCACCAUCAUAGGUCUUCGUGUGCGUAGGAAUUUUUUUGUUUCCCAUGCGACAUUCCCCAACAGUAUUAGAUCAGGAUAUAAUUCCAAGUCGUCCUGGAAUCAUGGACACGGCUAUUCGAAUAGUUAAUUUUCAUCCUUCCCGGGGUGUACCAAAUUACCAAACAUGCUUGACAAGCUCUGGCCAAACACACUUUCGUGUGUCAUGCCCGGCCUCGGAAGAUAAACACAUCGCAACCCCACCUAGGCUCGACAGGGUGGCCAACCCGCCGGUCUAAAUCCUAAGUGCAUGGGUCGUGGGCCCAUCACCAUUUGCACUCUGGCAUGAUGCAUGGGCGGCCGAGGUUAGUCCUGGUACCUCUUAUACAAGAACAAUGCUUACACGGACCACUCGGGCGUGCGCUGCUCCAUUGCUAGUGUCUGAAGAACUUCGGUUGAUACUACAACGCCGAGUACCCAUAACUUUUCCCACGUGAAGGUCAGUGCGAAAAGGUCUACGACCAACUCAUAUCAAACACACAAAUCCCAUUAUCAUUUUAAUUAAUACCGUAGCGACGAUCAGCAAUCCACGAUAUGUGGUCCCGUCGCCCCGUCUAGACGAUGUGUGGCAAGGGCCAAGAAUACUCGGCCACGUCUCAUCAGGUCAAGUAACUAUGUUGCUGUAACAUCAGAGUGAUCCGAGGAAUCUCCCUCGAUGGAUUCUCAGCGAUGUAGCCGUCAAGGCGACCAGGGAGGAAUCACCCUCGAUGGUCCAUGCUUGAGGGUUUGUACGAUAGAGUCGUUAUCGAAAGUGGUGAAGGAGGAAUCACCCUUCAUGGACCACCACUUGUUAACUGCACUACAGAGCUAACAUCAGGAGUACGUAAUGAGGUGUCACCCUUGGUACUCGACAGUAGCUCUGCAACAUUGUACGACAAGGGGGGUGUGAGUGAUGUGAUGGGUCUUGGCUCAUCGAUUAGUUGAUCGAGUCUUCGAUGAUAAAGCAAGGGCAAAUGGGACUAAGGGGUCAAAUGGGGAUCACUGAGUCACCCCUACUAAGCAUUUAAUGUAUAGAUUAUGCAUCCUAAUAGGAGCUAUCUAAAAUAGUAGAAAAAAUCUAACGCAAGCAUGAGGGAUAAAGAAUGAGCGAUAUAGGAAUGAUCAAGGGGGUUGCUUGCCUGGUUGCUCUGCACACAUAUACGGAUCCUCGAUAGUCGAUCACUGGAUCAACAUCGGUCUCGGGGUCUGCUACUGCGACAACAAACCUUCCCUGGUACGGUGACAGGAAUCCCCCUGCUACGGCUACGCCUUAGGGACUUCUUCGGCAAAUAUGCAAAGGAUUUCCCCGCGGCCUUGGAGCCUUGCGUUGGUGUUCCCUUGAAGAGGAAAGGGUGAUGUAGCACAUCGGUGGUAAGUAUUUCCCUCAGUUUUGAGAACCAUGGUAUCGAACCAGCGGAAGAUCUCGUCAAGUCACAAGUACCUGCACAAACACAAAGAGCUUGCACCCAACCCUAUGAAGGGGUUGUCAAUCCCUUAUAGAUUGUUUGCAAAGUGAGAACUAAAAGCAACAAAGUAAACAAGCAUAGUAAAAGUGAAAGUGCAAACGAUAGGUGUGAAUAGACCUGGGGAAGUAGUGUUCACUAGUGGCUUUUCUCAUGAAAGCAAGUAGACGGUGGGUGAGCGAAUUACUGUCGAGCAAUUGAUAGAACCGCCCAAAGUCGUGACGUUAUCUAAGGCAAUGAUUAUAUCUAUAGGCAUCAUGUCCAAAGCAAGUAGAUCGAUACUUUCUGCAUCUACUACUAUUACUCCACAUGUCGACCGCUAUCCAGCAUGCAUCUAGUGUAUUAAGUCCAAAAGAACAGAGUAACGCCUUAAGCAAGAUGACAUGAUGUAGAUGGACAAUCUCAUAUCUACGAUAAAAGCCCAUCUUAUUACCCUUGAUGGCAACAACAGGAUGCGUGCGUUGCUGCCCCUUCUGUCACUGGGAAAGGUCACCACACGGUAUGAACCCAAAACCAAGCACUUCUCCCAUUGCAAGAAUCAUAGAUCUAGUUGGCCAAACAAAACCCAAGACUCGGAGAGACUUACAAGGAUAUCAAAUCAUGCAUAUAAGAAAUCAGCAAAGACUCAAAUAUAAUUCAAAGAUAAUCUGAUCACAAAUGCACAAUUCAUCGGAUCUCGACAAACACACCGCCAAAGAGGAUUACAUCGGAUAGAUAUCCAUGAAGAUCAUAGAGAACUUUGUAUUGAAGAUCCAAGAGAGAGAAGAAGCCAUCUAGCUACUAACUACGGACCUGUAGGUCACGAGUCAUUGGAGAGGCGAUGAUGUUGAUGUAGAAGCCCUAGAACUCCAAGGUCCCCUCCGGCAGGGCACCGGGAAGGGUCUCCAGAUGAGAUCUCACGGAAACGGAAGCUUGCGGCGGCAGAAAAGUGUUUUAGUGGAUGCCCUGAUUUUUUCUGGAUUUUUAGGGAAUUUAUAGGCCAAAGACCUAGGGCAGGGGAGCUCCAGGGGGGGCACAAGCUUGGUUGCCAUGGCCUCCCCCUGGCCGCGGCAACAGGGCUUGUGGGCCCCCUGUGGGCCCACUACCUUGGCCCUCAAGCCUCCCGAUCUUCUUCCGUUUUGGAAAAAAAUAUUUCGGAGAUUUUAUUCCGUUUGGACUCCGUUCCAAAAUCAGAUCUGAAAAUAGUCAAAAACAGAAAAAAAAAAAAACAGUAACUGGCACUUGGCACUGAAUUAAUAAGUUAGUCCCAAAAAAGAUAAAAAAAGGUAAACAAAACAUCCAAAGUUGACAAGAUAAUAGCGUGAAACCAUCAAAAAUUAUAGAUACGUUUGAGACGUAUCAAGCAUCCCCAAGCUUAAAUUCUGCUCUUCCUCGAGUAGGGAAGGGAUAAAGAAUGAAUUUUUGAUGCUUUGAUGCUGCCUAACAUAAAUGUCCUUUGUAACUCCUCUUAUGUGACGUGAAUAUUCAGAUCCAUUAGAUUCAAAACAAUAGUUUGCUAUUGACGUGGAGACAAUAAUAAUUAAAGCAAACUAGUAAGGUAAUCAUGAACUUUCAAAAUAACAAGGCCAAAAGAAAGUUAUCCCUACAAAAUCAUAUAGUAUGGCUAUGCUCUAUCAUCCUUGCACAACGAAUUUAAAUCAUGCACAACCCCGGUAUUGGCCAAGUAAUUGUUUUCACACCUUUUCUUUCUCAAACUUUUUCAAUUCUCACGCAAUGCAUGAGCGUGAGCCAUGGUUUUAGCACUAUAAGUGGUGUGGAGUGUGGUGGAGGUUUUAAGACAAACCAGGAGAAGAUAGUCACAUUGACUAGGCAUAUUAGUGAGCUAUGGAGAUGCUCAUCAAUAGAUAUGAACGUGAAUGAGUAGGGAUUGCCAUACAAAUGAUGCACUAGAGCUAAGAGUAUGUGAAAGCUCUUAAAGAAAACUAGUGGGUGUGCAUCCAACUUGCUUGCUCACGAAGACCUAAGGCAAUUUUGAGGAAGCCUAUCAUUGGAAUAUACAAGCCAAGUUAUAUAAUGAAAAUUUCCCACUAGCUAUAUGGUGGUGAAAAAACGAGAGACUCUCAAUCAUGAAGAUCAUGGUGCUUAAUAAGCACAAGUGUGGAAAGAUAGUAGCAUUGUCCCUUCUCUCUUUUUCUCUCAUUAUAUUUUUUUGGUGGGCUCUUUGGCCUCUUUUUUUAUUUUUUUUAUUUUGGUGGGCAUCUUUGGCCUAUUUUUGUAAAUGGGCUUCGCUGGCCUCUUUUAUUUUCUCACAUGGGACAAUGCUUCAUCAAUGAUGAUCAUCACACUUACAACUCAAAACUUAGAGCAAUGAUGACUCUAUAUGAAAUGCCUUCGGUAGUGUACCGUGACAAUGAUCUAGCAUGGCAUAGACAUCAAUGGGAACAUCAUGCUAGCUAUCUUAUGAUCAUGCAAUGUCAAUGUAGAAGUAGUGGCACACGUCAUGGUGGUAGUUGCAUGGCAAUAUAUCUCGGAAUAGCUUUGAAAAAGCCAUAGUAGGUAGGUUUGGUGGCUGUUUUGAAGGAGGCUAUUGGUGGGUUUUGUGCACCGGGGAAAAUUGCACGACACUAAAGAAGAUAGUGAUGGUGGAAGGUGAAAGUGCAUCUAAACCAUGGACUCAACAUUAGUCAUGAAGAACUCAUAUACUUGUUGCAAAAGUUUUUGUAGUAAUCGAAACAAAGCAUUCAACGCAUACUCCUAGGGGAAGGGUUGGUAGGUAUAAACCAUCGCGCGGUCCAGACCGCCACACAAAGGAUGACAAUCAAUAGACUAAUCAUGCUCAGACUUCAUCACAUAGCGGUUCACCAUACAUGCAUGCUAUGGGAAUUACUAACUUCAACACAAGUAUUUCCAGAUCCACAACACCUUACUAAUAUAACUUCUAUAUUACCAUAACCACAACUCAAAACUAGUUGAGAUGAAUCAAACUUCUCUAACUAUUCAAUGCACCUGAAGGUGGAAGUUUUCAUAUCCCUUUGGAUAACUACCUCUUUUGAGACUACUUUCAUAGCAUAUCAACUACCAAGCCAUGCACCGCCGUGCUCUAAAAGAUAUAAGUGAAGCACAUAGAGCAAAAUCAACUAGCUCAAAAGAUAUAAGUGAAGCACAUGUGAGCUGAAUUGUCUAACCAAAAGAUAUAAGUGAAGCUUGACAAAAUCACGGUGAGUGCAUGUCUCUCUCUCUCUAGGUGUGAAGCAAGGAUGAUUGUGACACCACAAAAAUAAAAGACUCCUACGAUACAAGAUGCUCCAAGCAAAACACAUAACAUGUGGUGAAUAAAAAUAUAGCCCCAAGUAACGUUACCGAUGGAUUGAAGACGAAAGAGGGGAUACUUUCCCGGGGCAUCCGCAAGCUUAGGCUUUUACGGCAUCCUUGAAUCAACUUGGGGUGUCUUGGGCAUACCCAAUCUUGAGCUCUUGCCACUCUUUAUCUUUUUGUCCAUAAGAACUUCACCCAAAACUUGAAAACUUCACAACACGAAACUUAAACAGAAACUCGUGAUAACAUAAGUAUAAGAAAGCAAACCACCACUUCCUUAGGUACUGUAGAAAACUUAAAUUCUACUUAUCUUGAUGUUGGGUUACUGUAUUUUCAAUAUUCCAUGGCUAAUACCCCCCGAUACUAUCCAUAGUUUCAUCAAAAUAAGCAACCAACUCAACAAAAAACAGAAUCUGUUAACAGCAGACCAGUCUGUAGAAAUCUGUAUACUCCAUAUACUUCUGUUACUUCAAAAAUUCUGACAAAUUACCACAAUCUGAAGAAGUUCCGUGGAAAUCAGCAUAAAAAAGAAUCAACUCAAAAUCUCUUACAUAAAAAAAAUGAAAAUUCUUUUCGUGAGCAGAAAGUUUCUGUCUUUUCCAGCAUGACCAAACGAUCAUCCCCAAGACUAAUCAUAACCGUUUUGCUUGGCACAAAUGCAAAAAGAAACACACAAACCACAAUCAUAACAUAAUUAUGAGAUUGUGGAAAACACAAAACAGAAAUAAAAAGGAUAGAUUCGUUGGGUUGCCUCCCAACAAGCGCUAUUGUUUAACGCCCUUAGCUAGGCAUAGAUAAAUCAAUGAUGCUCACACAAAAGACAAGAAUUGAAGCACAACGAGAGCAUCAUAAAGCAUGUGAAAAUGACAUCUAAGUCUAACAUACUUCCUAUGCAUAGGCAUUUUAUAGGAAAAUAGAUUGUCAAGACAACCAGUAGUUGCCAUAUGCAAGGAAGAAGAAAGAGACAAUAGCAAUCUCCACAUAACGAGAGGUAAUUUGGUAACAUGAAAGUUUCUACCACAAUAUUUUCCUCUCUCAUAACAAUUACAUGUGGGAUCAUAUUCGAAUUCAACCAUGUAACUAUAACAAAGGAUAUUCUUUUCAUGAUCCACAUGCAUGCAAAGUUGACACUCUUCAAAAAUAGUGGGAUUAUCAUCAACGGAAGUCAUGACUUCUCCAAACCCACUUUCAAUAUUGUUGCAAAUGUCAUACUCAUCAUGAGGCUUAAACAAAUUUUCAAGCUCAUAAGAAAAAUAAUCACCCCAAUCAAGAUCAUUGCAACAAGUAGAGGACAUAGCAAAACUAGCAUCCCCAAGCUUAGGAUUUUGCAUAUUUUUAGCAUGAUUGUCACUAAUAGAAUUUAUAGUGAAACCAUUCCAAUCAUGCUUUCAUCCAAGGAGCCCUCGUGAAUCACUUCAUAAAUUUCUUCCUCACAAUUUUCAGAUUCACGCAUCUCAAGCAAAACUCCAUAAAGAAAGUCAAGUGCACUCAACUUACUAGCAAUUGGUUCCACAUAAGUGGAUCUCUUAAAGAGAUUAGCAAGUGGGUGAGGAUCCAUAUUACUAGAUUUUUAGCAAGCGAAGAUGCAAGCAUAUUGACGGCACAUGGCACACAAGCGAACAAAAAGCAAGUGGGAAAAAGGGCGAACGAAAAGGCGAACGGGAAAGGCAAAUGAAAAAGGAAAAUUGUGAAGUGGGGGAGAGGAAAACGUGAGGCAACUGGCAAAAAAGGUAAAUGCAAGAGAUGAGUUUGUGAUACCUACUUGGAUAGAUCUCCUCCCCGGCAACGGCGCCAGAAAUCAGCAUGUUGACGAGAGACUAUUCUUGACUUGAUCCUCCCCGGCAACGGCGCCAAAAAUCCUUCUGCUACUGCGACAACAGACCUUCCUUGGUACGGCGCCAGGAAUCAUGCUACUACGGCUAUGCCUUUAGGGACUUCCUUGGAAAAUAUGCAAAGGAUUUCCCUGCGGCCUUGGAGCCUUGCGUUGGUGUUCCCUUGAAGAGGAAAGGGUGAUGUAGCACAGCGGCCGUAAGUAUUUCCCUCAGUUUUGAGAACCAAGGUAUCGAACCAGUGGAAGAUCUCAUCAAGUCACAAGUAUCUGCACAAACACAAAGAGCUUGCACCCAACGCUAUGAAGGGGUUGUCAAUCCCUUAUAGAUUGUUUGCAAAGUAAGAACUGAAAGCAACAAAGUAAACAAGCAAAGUAAAAGUGAAAGUGGAAAAGAUAGGUGUGAAUAGACCCGGGGGCCGUAGUAUUCACUAGUGGAUUCUCUCAUGAUAGCAAGUAGACGGUGGAUGAACGAAUUACUGUCGAGCAAUUGAUAGAACCGCGCAAAGUCGUGACGUUAUCUAAGGCAAUGAUUAUAUCUAUAGGCAUCACAUCCAAAACAAGUAGACCGAUACUUUCUGCAUGUACUACUAUUACUCCACAUGUCGACCGCUAUCCAGCAUGCAUCUAGUGUAUUAAUUCCAAAAGAACAGAGUAACGCCUUAAGCAAGAUGACAUGAUGUAGAUGGACAAUCUCAUAUUUACGAUAAAAGCCCAUCUUGUUACCCUUGAUGGCAACAACACGAUGCGUGCCUUGCUGCCCCUUCUGUCACUGGGAAAGGUCACCACACGGUAUGAACCCAAAACCAAGCACUUCUCCCAUUGCAAGAAUCAUAGAUCUAGUUGGCCAAACAAAACCCAAGACUCGGAGAGACUUACAAGGAUAUCAAAUCAUGCAUAUAAGAAAUCAGUAAAGACUCAAAUAUAAUUCAUAGAUAAUCUGAUCACAAAUCCAAAAUUCAUCGGAUCUCGACAAACACACCACCAAAGAGGAUUACACCGGAUAGAUCUCCAUGAAGAUCAUGGACAACUUUGUAUUGAAGAUCCAAGAGAGAGAAGAAGCUAUCUAGCUACUAACUACGGACCCGUAGGUCUGAAGUGGACUACUCACGAGUCAUUGGAGAGGCGAUGAUGUUGACGUAGAAGCCCUCCAACUCCAAAGUCCCCUCCGGCAGGGCACCGAGAAGGGUCUCCAGAUGACAUCUCGCGGAAACGGAAGCUUGCGGGGAUGGAAAAGUGUUUUCGUGGAUGCCCUGAUUUUUCCUGGAUUUUUAGGGAAUUUAUAGGCCAAAGACCUAGGGCAGGGGAGUGCCAGGGGGCACAAGCUUGGUUGUCGCGGCCUCCCCCUGGCCGCGGCAACAGGGCUUGUGGCCCCCCUGUGGGCCCACCGCCUUGGCCCUCAAGCCUUCCGAUCUUCUUCCAUUCUGGAAAAAAUUAUUUCGGGUAUUUUAUUCCGUUUGGACUCCGUUCCAAAAUCAGACCUGAAAAGGGUCAAAAACACAGAAAGAACAGGAACUGGCACUUGGCACUGAAUUAAUAAGUUAGUCCCAAAAAAGAUAAAAAAGGUAAACAAAACAUCCAAAGUUGACAAGAUAACAGCGUGAAACCAUCAAAAAUUAUAGAUACGUUUGAGACGUAUCAGGGUCUAGCAGAAAGUAAGCAACAGAGGGCAAACACUAUAAAUAACAAAGCAAUCAAACGCAUUACAAAGCUUGACAAGGUAAUACACAAUGGUAGGGGUGACCUACCGCAAUACUGAACAUUACACACGAACCGGGAAAAUAUCUGACAAUAUUUCUCGGGUUUGUGGCUACUACAAGACAUAUGAUAACGAUGGAAAAGUUCCAUGUUUGCUAUGCUAAGGGCACGUGAGAGACGAACGGAUAGCGUACCCGGAUUCGUCUCAUUUUUCUGAUCAACUUUCAUGUCCAAACUAUUUUCAUCCGAGUUACGGAUUAUUUUAUUUUAAUUUUUUAAGUUUUAUUAUUAUUCUAAAAUUAAAGAUAUUUAAUUUAAUUAAAAAAAUGUAUUUACGACGUCAGCAUGACAUCACUGUGACGUCAACAGUCAAAAGUGGGGCUGACUAGUAAACCUGGCCAGUGGGGCCCAUCUGCCAUUGACUCACGGUUAUCGAGGGUUUUAAAAUAAUUCUAAUUACUUAUUAAAUACACGAGCCCCACCUGUCAUUCAUUGUGAGGCUAACAUAGUUUAGAGUUAAACUAAAUUAACUGAUUAUCUAACAAGGGCCUAGUGGUCAUUGUAUAAUUAGGUUAAUUAAUAAAUUUUAAAUUGUUUUAUUUAAAUAAGUGGGGUGGGCCCCAUUUGUCACCGACACUGGGCACCUAGUCAGCAGCGCUGACUCGGUCAACCCGAUCAACGGACCAACUAGGCCCACUGGUUAGUGGCUGAGGGCGUGGCCCCGAGACGGCCACGUUGGCGCGCGGUCGGCUUUCAGUCGCCGGCAACCAAAACGAUGGGGAUGGGCCAUGGGAGGCCGCAGGUUUUGCCCUCCAGCAGCCAUUUGGCGCGCGAAGUGUCUCGUUCAAUCGGGGAGAGGCCUGACGUGUCGAGUGAGGGCACUGGGAGGAGCUGAGGCUGCCGGAUUCGGCGCCGGCGAUGAGCAGAGGUGGCGGCCGUGUUCGGGUCUCAUUGGGGACGACGUUUCGGGGAACGAUUCGACGUGCGGAGCGGUUCUACGGGUAGCUGGCGCUCGCGUGCGUCCAUUGCCGCAGUCAGCACCAUGCGGGAGACGAAGAGCUCGCCGAAGACGAGAUCGCGACGGUGGCUGAAGCACUGGCCCGUCUAGGACGGUGCUAGGGGGAGCAGAAGUAGUAGCGAGCGCGUGUAGGGGUGCGGGCGGCGCACGCGGGGCAGUCGUGGAUGCGGCGACAUGCGUGGCUACGUGUGGUCAGAGCGCGCGUGGGAGCUCCAGCGAGCGGGCGGCUAGCAGCGGGCGAGAUGGAGACAAAGGGAGAGCAAGGUGGUUGUGAGCCGCACUAGCGUGGUAUGGGGGCUAGGGCUGCGAGGUGUCAUGAGGCCGACGAGGAGGGGCUAGGGAAGUGUGGCGGUGACAGUUGAUGUUGGCAGGGGCGUUGGAGCAGCGGCGUGGCGGCAGGUCGAGUGGGCUGUAGAGAGGAUCCGCCGUCGGGUCAGGAUGAGCAGGAGGAGGGAUAGC
rnacentral:lncRNA from 1 species